rnacentral:rRNA from 1 species
GUCCACGCCCUAAACUAUGUCGACUAGUUGUUGGGGAGUCUGUCCCUCAGUAACGUAGCUAACGCGUGAAGUCGACCGCCUGGGGAGUACGGUCGCAAGAUUAAAACUCAAAGGAAUUGACGGGACCCGCACAAGCGGUGGAUUAUGUGGAUUAAUUCGAUGCAACGCGAAGAACCUUACCUACCCUUGACAUGCCAGGAACCCUGCAGAGAUGCAGGGGUGCCCGAAAGGGAACCUGGACACAGGUGCUGCAUGGCUGUCGU